AGGCCCGUCCUCCACGCGCCACUGAAGACAGCCGAGUCAGAAUCUGAUCCGUCCGAGGCGACCUCGACAGAGGGUCACAAGGACGGUGGCGCAGACCCGAUGGAGUCAGCACAGUUCUUCGUAGACGUCAUUGACCGGGUUCUGAGUGAAGACGACGGGAACAAGGACGGCUUGCUCAGCUACGCCGAGUUCGUGCUGGCGAACGAGCGGGCUUCGGACCGGAUGCGGGAACGAGAACUG